GGAAACUGUUUAACUNGAGUGCAGAAGGGGAGAGUGGAAUUCCAUGUGUAGCGGUGAAAUGCGUAGAUAUAUGGAGGAACACCGGUGGCGAAAGCGGCUCUCUGGUCUGUAACUGACGCUGAGGCUCGAAAGCGUGGGGAGCAANCAGGAUUAGAUACCCUGGUAGUCCACGCCGUAAACGAUGAGUGCUAGGUGUUAGGCCCUUUCCGGGGCUUAGUGCCGCAGCUAACGCAUUAAGCACUCCGCCUGGGGAGUACGACCGCAAGGUUGAAACUCAAAGGAAUUGACGGGGGCCCGCACAAGCGGUGGAGCAUGUGGUUUAAUUCGAAGCAACGCGAAGAACCUUACCAGGUCUUGACAUCCCUCUGAUCGCUCUAGAGAUAGAGUUUUCCUUCAGGACAGAGGUGACAGGUGGUGCAUGGUUGUCGUCAGCUCGUGUCGUGAGAUGUUGGGUUANNNNNNNCAACGAGCGCAACCCCUAUUGUUAGUUGCCAUCAUUCAGUUGGGCACUCUAGCGAGACUGCCGGUAAUAAACCGGAGGAAGGUGGGGAUGACGUCAAAUCAUCAUGCCCCUUAUGACCUGGGCUACACACGUGCUACAAUGGCUGGUACAACGAGUCGCGAGCCGGUGACGGCAAGCUAAUCUCUGAAAGCCAGUCUCAGUUCGGAUUGUAGGCUGCAACUCGCCUACAUGAAGUCGGAAUCGCUAGUAAUCGCGGAUCAGCACGCCGCGGUGAAUACGUUCCCGGGCCUNGU
rnacentral:rRNA from 1 species